rnacentral:rRNA from 1 species
UCUACGGGGAGCUGCAGUGGGGAAUAUUGGACAAUGGGCGAAAGCCUGAUCCAGCCAUGCCGCGUGUGUGAAGAAGGCCUUCGGGUUGUAAAGCACUUUCAGUGGGGAAGAAAGCCUUGGGGCUAAUACCCUCGAGGAAGGACAUCACCCACAGAAGAAGCACCGGCUAACUCCGUGCCAGCAGCCGCGGUAAUACGGAGGGUGCGAGCGUUAAUCGGAAUUACUGGGCGUAAAGCGCGCGUAGGCGGUCUGAUAAGCCGGUUGUGAAAGCCCCGGGCUCAACCUGGGAACGGCAUCCGGAACUGUCAGGCUAGAGUGCAGGAGAGGAAGGUAGAAUUCCCGGUGUAGCGGUGAAAUGCGUAGAGAUCGGGAGGAAUACCAGUGGCGAAGGCGGCCUUCUGGACUGACACUGACGCUGAGGUGCGAAAGCGUGGGUAGCAAACAGGAUUAGAUACCCCGGUAGUC